GCACAAGCAGUGGAGUAUGUGGUUUAAUUCGAAGCAACGCGAAGAACCUUACCAGGUCUUGACAUCCAACUAACGAAGUAGAGAUACAUUAGGUGCCCUUCGGGGAAAGUUGAGACAGGUGGUGCAUGGUUGUCGUCAGCUCGUGUCGUGAGAUGUUGGGUUAAGUCCCGCAACGAGCGCAACCCUUGCUAUUAGUUGCUACGCAAGAGCACUCUAAUAGGACUGCCGUUGAUAAAA
rnacentral:rRNA from 1 species